AAGAUAUUAGUAAAAUAGACAUUACAUCGCCUUGUCAAGGCGAAAUCGUAGGUUAAAUCCCUGCAUGUCUUA
rnacentral:tRNA from 1 species